rnacentral:rRNA from 1 species
UACGUAGGUGGCAAGCGUUAUCCGGAAUUAUUGGGCGUAAAGCGCGCGCAGGUGGUUUCUUAAGUCUGAUGUGAAAGCCCACGGCUCAACCGUGGAGGGUCAUUGGAAACUGGGAGACUUGAGUGCAGAAGAGGAAAGUGGAAUUCCAUGUGUAGCGGUGAAAUGCGUAGAGAUAUGGAGGAACACCAGUGGCGAAGGCGACUUUCUGGUCUGUAACUGACACUGAGGCGCGAAAGCGUGGGGAGCAAACAGGGA